ACAAAAAAGGGGAGCUGAGAGAGGUCGCAGAGGAGGAGAAUAUCUUUCCUGAUAAGUGGACUUCUAACAGAGAUUCUUGCUGCAUACCCAGCUGACACAAAUGAAAGAAUCCUAAAAUAAGCACCAUGCCUGGACUCAUUAACAAGGAGAACCGGAGCGCUCUGCCCCUUAGUGUCUCUGACAUCACUUCCUGUGUCAGGGGUUAUACUUUGGCCCUGACAGCCUCUAUGACCUACGAAAAUAUCGAGGACCAUGCAAUUGAGGGGAUGUUCAUUUAUCCGCUGGAGGAAAAUUCCAUUGUUGUGGG